GACGAACGCUGGCGGCGUGCCUAACACAUGCAAGUCGAACGGAACUCGGGACUUCGGUUCUGAGUUUAGUGGCGAACGGGUGAGUAACGCGUGAGGAACCUGCCUUUCAGUGGGGGACAACAGUUGGAAACGACUGCUAAUACCGCAUAAUGUGUUUGGGGGCAUCCCCGAGACACCAAAGCUUUAUGUGCUGAAAGAUGGCCUCGCGUCUGAUUAGAUAGUUGGUGAGGUAACGGCUCACCAAGGCGACGAUCAGUAGCCGGUCUGAGAGGAUGAACGGCCACAUUGGGACUGACAUACGGCCCAGACUCCUACGGGAGGCAGCAGUGGGGAAUAUUGGGCAAUGGGGGAAACCCUGACCCAGCAACGCCGCGUGAAGGAAGAAGGCC
rnacentral:rRNA from 1 species